AUUUAAAAAUAUGGCAACGUACGCUUUUAACGUUUUUAGCAACACACUGGACCUCCUCUCGGGCGAUGGUGCGCAUAGAGAGGGGGCAAGCUUUAUAAGACGUAAUAAUACGGUUUUCACGGUGGCUUCAAAGAAUAGCCGGAAGACUCCUCUGCUGCCGCGGCCAGGAUAACUCGGACGUUCAUCUUUCGGUUGAGGUAACAGCGCCCUCCAGCGUGCGGCCGUGGCGUUGCGGGAAGACGGAGGCGUUCUCAGGACAGGUGAGACGCUC